CUGCGCUGCUCAAUGCUUGCAUCCUGCAGUGUAGCCACGGAAGCAUUGUUCGCAAAUGAACAACAUUCAGGUUUGCAUAUUAUUCAGAUUUCCGAUACACUCUUAUACAAUGUGCUGUUACUGCAUCACUCAUGUAUUUUAUUGCUCUGUCAUGAUGUGGUGAAUUGUUUCCUUUGUUUCUGGUGUAUUUUCUCUUUGUAAAGCUGUAUUUGUCCAAGCCCAUUGGUUGUAUCUGUAAUUUAAUUUUGAGUUAUAUAAUUGCCAUAGAGUGACUUUGCUUUCUGGUUUUCUACUCUUUUUAACAGAAAGGAUCUUGAGACAAAUCGGUUAGUUUGUUACAAUUAAAGACUACUGAAAGUGCUAACCGCUUACGAAACAGCUUCUGCCUGUGUGGUACACUAUUACUGUUGCCUUGUUUCUCCUUUAGGCUUGCCUUUCCAUAUCAGGUUUAUUAAAGUGUUCUUCCCCUAUACUAAAUAGACAUACAUAUUGUUCACUUCAUAUUAUCCUAAUUGUUUAGGCUCCUUGGUUGUAUCUAUAAUCUUGCUUUUGGCUUCUAAAUUUUUCUCAUAAAGCUUCCCUCAUGUUGAUGCCUUCCUAUUGUUCUUCCCAGAAAAAAGUUACUAGGUUAGAUUAAUUGUUAACCUAAAAAACGUACUAAGUUUAGUAAAUAAAAUUGCCCAAUCUUUUUAUCUUCCAAAACUACUUCCAGGUGUAUUCGAGAGAAAAAACUACUUCCAGGUUUCACGAGUCCUCUGCUUUGUAUUAUGACUCAAUUUUUCCAUUAACAUUUCCCCAUACUCAGCGCCAGCUAGAUCUGCUCUCCAUUGCAUUUAAAUCAUUGCUACAUACAUUCUCCUGCCAGGGUACCUAUUCUCUGUCCUUUUCCAGAUAUCAUUUCAAAUAACAAACCUUUUACCACUUCUCUUUUCUUUUUCUUUUACUUCUGAGGGCUACCAUUGCUUCCGGAGAAAGAAGUCUCACUAUCUUAUUGAGUGCUACGCUGAAGAAUCUAUCAUUGCAGUUGUGUCAAAUGUUAAUCCCAUCAGUAUACGCACAGCUGGUUUGCAUAAGUAAUUCAUAGUGACCAUUACAGUUCUACAUUUUUAGAUCAAAUUGAGAAUACUGUUCAGUUCUAGAUAAAUCAAUUAAUUGACUAACUUACUAUCAACGAAGCAAUUAAUUGAUUAAUUCAUUAUCAACCAUGCAGGAAGAAGCUAACUUGAUUCGAGCUGCAUGCCUGCAUCUUGGCGUUCCAACAUUACUCUCUUUGGGGGCUCUCCUGUUCCAUCAGGCGUUCCAACAGCACUAAACAUGGUCAUCACCAAACAAUAAAUAUAACUACUUACUUUCUUAGCUCUCUUGCCCUUCAGUAGUACCUGAUCUCUGUUAUAUUGAACUGUAUAUUUCAUUCUGUCGUAUCAGUACUAUAUUGAACCUCUGUACAAUUGGUUACUACCUAAAACUUGAGUAUUGGAUCUAUCAUAUCAAUGUUUCUUUCUA